rnacentral:misc_RNA from 1 species
UUGGUGAGGGUGUGAGCCGUGAGGGGUUCUCGUCUGUAGUGGACGAGGGCCGGGUGCACAACAACAGGCAAUCGCCAGACACACUAUUGGGCCCUGAGACAACACUCGGCCGACUUCGGUUGAAGUGGUGUCCCUCCAUCUUGGUGGUGGGGUGUGGUGUUUGAGUAUUGGAUAGUGGUUGCGGGGAGACGGGGGUUCCUCGGUUGUAGGUGGCUCCUGAAAAGU